GCAAGUCGAGCGGACAGAAGGGAGCUUGCUCCCGGAUGUUAGCGGCGGACGGGUGAGUAACACGUGGGUAACCUGCCUGUAAGACUGGGAUAACUCCGGGAAACCGGAGCUAAUACCGGAUAGUUCCUUGAACCGCAUGGUUCAAGGAUGAAAGACGGUUUCGGCUGUCACUUACAGAUGGACCCGCGGCGCAUUAGCUAGUUGGUGGGGUAAUGGCUCACCAAGGCGACGAUGCGUAGCCGACCUGAGAGGGUGAUCGGCCACACUGGGACUGAGACACGGCCCAGACUCCUACGGGAGGCAGCAGUAGGGAAUUCUUCCGCCAAUGGACGAAAGUCUGACGGAGGCAACGCCGCGUGAGUGAUGAAGGUUUUCGGAUCGUAAAGCUCUGUUGUUAGGGAAGAACAAGUGCGAGAGUAACUGCUCGCACCUUGACGGUACCUAACCAGAAAGCCACGGCUAACUACGUGCCAGCAGCCGCGGUAAUACGUAGGGUGGGCAAGCGUUGUCCGGAAUUAUUGGGCGUAAAGGGCUCGCAGGCGGUUUCUUAAGUCUGAUGUGAAAGCCCCCGGCUCAACCGGGGAGGGUCAUUGGAAACUGGGAAACUUGAGUGCAGAAGAGGAGAGUGGAAUUCCACGUGUAGCGGUGAAAUGCGUAGAGAUGUGGAGGAACACCAGUGGCGAAGGCGACUCUCUGGUCUGUAACUGACGCUGAGGAGCGAAAGCGUGGGGAGCGAACAGGAUUAGAUACCCUGGUAGUCCACGCCGUAAACGAUGAGUGCUAAGUGUUAGGGGUUUCCGCCCCUUAGUGCUGCAGCUAACGCAUUAAGCACUCCGCCUGGGGAGUACGGUCGCAAGACUGAAACUUCAAAGGAAUUGACGGGGGCCCGCACAAGCGGUGGACAUGUGGUUUAAUUUCGAAGCAACGCGAAAGAAACCUUACCCAGGUCUUGACAUCCUUCUGACAACCCUAGAGAUAGGGCUUUCCCUUCGGGGACAGAGUGACAGGUGGUGCAUGGUUGUCG
rnacentral:rRNA from 1 species